rnacentral:rRNA from 1 species
GACGAACCGUGCGAACGUUGUUCGGAAUCACUGGGCUUAAAGGGCGCGUAGGCGGGCCCGCAAGUUAGGGGUGAAAUCCCACGGCUCAACCGUGGAAGUGCCUUUGAUACUGCGGGUCUCGAGGGAGGUAGGGGCGUGCGGAACUUCCGGUGGAGCGGUGAAAUGCGUAGAUAUCGGAAGGAACACCGGUGGCGAAAGCGGCGCGCUGGACCUCUUCUGACGCUGAGACGCGAAAGCCAGGGG